rnacentral:rRNA from 1 species
UACGGGGGAAGCAAGCGUUGUUCGGAUUUACUGGGCGUAAAGGGCUCGUAGGCGGCCAACUAAGUCAUACGUGAAAUCCCUCAGCUUAACUGGGGAACUGCGUGUGAUACUGGAUGGCUUGGAUUUGGGAGAGGGAUGCGGAAUUCCAGGUGUAGCGGUGAAAUGCGUAGAUAUCUGGAGGAACACCGGUGGCGAAGGCGGCAUCCUGGACCAAUAUUGACGCUGAGGAGCGAAAGCCAGGGGAGCAAACGGG